UACCUCUGAUUUGCGGAAGAGGCUGAUAAACUCGGUAUAGUGUGUGUUGUCAUCAGCUUCGUCUCGAUCCUACGAGAUGGGAGUUAAAUAACGACACGAGAUUU